UCCCUGGUGGUCCAGUGGUUAGGACUCCGGACUUUUACUGCUGCGGGCCUGGGUUCGAUCCCUGGUCGGGGAA